rnacentral:rRNA from 1 species
GAUGAACGCUGGCGGCGUGCCUAAUACAUGCAAGUCGAGCGAACGGACGAGAAGCUUGCUUCUCUGAUGUUAGCGGCGGACGGGUGAGUAACACGUGGAUAACCUACCUAUAAGACUGGGAUAACUUCGGGAAACCGGAGCUAAUACCGGAUAAUAUUUUGAACCGCAUGGUUCAAAAGUGAAAGACGGUCUUGCUGUCACUUAUAGAUGGAUCCGCGCUGCCUUAGCUAGUUGGUAAGGUCACGGCUUACCAAGGCAACGAUGCAUAGCCGACCUGAGAGGGUGAUCGGCCACACUGGAACUGAGACACGGUCCAGACUCCUACGGGAGGCAGCAGUAGGGAAUCUUCCGCAAUGGGCGAAAGCCUGACGGAGCAACGCCGCGUGAGUGAUGAAGGUCUUCGGAUCGUAAAACUCUGUUAUUAGGGAAGAACAUAUGUGUAAGUAACUGUGCACAUCUUGACGGUACCUAAUCAGAAAGCCACGGCUAACUACGUG